ACAAGGCAGGGCCCAGAGGGGUGCGUGGGGGCCGCAGCCCAGCCCCCAAGCCCCGCCAGCGGCCGACAAGGGAGGUGCCAUGUGGACUGUUUCACAGCUGGAGAAACUGAGGCACAGAGGGGCUGAGUCACCUGCCUAACGCACUGAGCAGUCUGGCUCCAGGACCUGUGCUCUGAACCAGCACCUGGCACAUAGCUGGCACCGACAUGGUCUCCGUGCACUGCCAUGGAUGAGAGCAAUGCUGGCUGCGGUGUCGGGCGGAGCUGGGUUCCAAUGCUGACUUCACCUUUCUCAGGCUGCACAGCCUGGAGCACGUGGCUGCACCCUACCGUGCGUCAGUUUCCUCACCUGUGAAGGGUGAUCGUGGUGGUCCUGAUCUUGCAGAACUGCAGUGAGGGCUGUGAGUGUGGGGUGUCUCAACUGCACCUGGACACGCAGAAGGCACUCUGUGAACACUGACUUUCAUUGGCCCAGGCCUCUGAAUCCAUGACAGUUCAAUCUCUGAACCCCACAGCUUCCUCCUUCACCCUUUGCCGCCCCAGGGCAAGCUUUACUGGGGUGUAACAAACACACGAUAAACUGCGCAUAUUCCAGUGUUCAUGUGGAUGAGUUUGGACAUAUGCACACACUUCCGAAACCACCAGCACAAUCAAGACAGCAGACAUAUCCAUCGCCCCCAAGGGUGUCCUUGUGUCUUUUUGUCAUUCAUCCCUCCCGGCCGCCCCAUCCACACUCCCAUCGCCUGCCGACUGUGGCUGAUCUGCUUUCUGCGGCUGUGGAUUAGUUUGCGUUCUCUACAAUUUUCUGAAGCACCAGUUAGCCCAGAUGCUUCUCAUCUUUGGAGUUGAGCUGCAGGCUGGAGACCUGGAAGGCCCUCGCAGCGCCUGCUCCCAUCCUCUCACCUCACGAAAGCGCAGGAAUGUGGGUUUGGAGCCAAUGAAAAGUACUGGAAUCUGGCUCUGCUCUGUGACCCUGGACAAGUCACUGCCCCUCUCUGGGCUUCAGUUUCCUCCUUGGUAACACAGAAUGAUUAUACCUACCCCUUGGGUUUGUUGACCUGAAUCUACCCCUCAGUCAUUGCCUUUCCUUCUUGCUGCAGCCACACUGGCCCCUUGACAGUUCCUUGAACACAACAAGCCCUUUCCCACCUCAGGGCCUUUGCAUGUGCAGUGCCAGAUGCCUGGAAUGUCCUUCCUUCCAAUCUCCCCAUGGCCGGCUCAUUCUCAUCUUUCUUGGCUCAAAUGUUACCUCCCCAACCUAGACAGCACCGCUGCCACCUCUUCACCCCGUCUUACUCUUCUUCAAGCACUUCUGGAGGUAUCUUGCUAUUUAUCUUGUUUAUAUCUUUUUCAGCUCCAUGAGGGCAGGGGAUUUUGUCUGUUUCAUUCACAAUGUGUUCCCAGAGCUCAGCACAGUGUCAGGCACACACUAGGUGAGUAAGAAACAAUUGCUUCCUCUACCUCUUCCCCUGCUAGCCCCAAGUUCAGCUAACUGGCUGUGUGACCCUGGGGAUUGCUUUUCACCUCUCUGGUCCCUUAUUCUCCCUUGUGGACAAAGGAUGGCCUGGGCAUGAGUUUCUUCAAGGACUCGGGUAGCAGUGAAAUCCCUGGGACCCUAGCCUCAGUACCUCCCCAGGCAAUGGGGUAGAGAGCAAGAAGGCAGGUGAGCAAGGACCAGCCUCCGCCACGCAGACACCCUCUUUCCGGCUUCUCUGUCCUCCUACUUUGCCCUGGGUUUGUGGACUUACUCUGGGCAGAUCUCCACGACCAACCACCCCCUCCCUUGGCAUGUCUGUCAGCACCCUUGGGGGAAAGAAUUUGGAAAGGGGAGGGAGAAAAAGAAAGCAGGGUGCGAGGGGCUGGUUCCCACACCUGUGUAAAUAAUUUGUCAUCUUAAAAUGCUCAAGUAUGCUCACC
ensembl:lncRNA LINC01270 long intergenic non-protein coding RNA 1270